AGAAAAAAGCUCCAUAGCAAAUAUCGUUGGCUUUAAAAAAGUAUUUUCGUACGAAGGGAUAUUUUGGCCGUACCGGUGGUGCGUUGCUCGUAAGGAUAAUGACACGCAGAAAACUUUCCGUAGGAGACAAUUCUCUGGAGGGGUACUUUCGUAAUUAGGUUUUGAUUAUAUUAUUAAUUUCUUGACAGAUAAUUUAGUUUGUUUCGUGGGAAAUUGUUUUCUGGGUUUUGAUUUUGAUAAUUCAGGAGAGACUGGACUUUUAGGUGAGCUGUCGUUGGCAGUAUAGCUUAUUGGUGGCACCUAGCUACAGUGAAUAUAAGCGAGUUAUAUCUGGUUAAUCCAUAAAAAGACUAAAAAAAAAAAGGAG
rnacentral:misc_RNA from 1 species